rfam:Clostridium saccharolyticum-like K10 draft genome.
AAAAAGGCUGAGAAAAAGAGGAGUAGGCAGAGAGAUGCCCCGCCAGAGAGAACGGUUCACCGGCUGAAAGACUGUUCCGGGAAGCGGCUGCUGAAGGUAGCUUUUGAGCCGGAACCUUGAACGGUUUUCUGCAGAAUGCGGAAGACAGAGGAGUAGAGGUUCACGGGAAUUCCGCCGUUACCGGAAAAGGAGAUUGCUGCAGGAUAACUGCGGCAGAACAAAGGUGGUACCGCGAUGAUUCGCCCUUUGC